UACGGAGGGUGCAAGCGUUAAUCGGAAUUACUGGGCGUAAAGGGUGCGUAGGUGGUUGAUUAAGUUAUCUGUGAAAUCCCCGGGCUCAACCUGGGCAGGUCAGAUAAUACUGAUUGACUCGAGUAUAGGAGAGGGUAGUGGAAUUUCCGGUGUAGCGGUGAAAUGCGUAGAGAUCGGAAGGAACACCAGUGGCGAAGGCGGCUACCUGGCCUAAUACUGACACUGAGGCACGAAAGCGUGGGGAGCAAACAGGAUUAGAUACCCUGGUAGUCCACGCUGUAAACGAUGUCAACUAGCUGUUGGUUAUAUGAAUAUAAUUAGUGGCGCAGCAAACGCGAUAAGUUGACCGCCUGGGGAGUACGGUCGCAAGAUUAAA
rnacentral:rRNA from 1 species